CUUUGAUGUUGAGGAAGAGUAUCUUAACAUCGUUUUGUAUGAGGUCGGUGAACAUGUGCAUGCCCCUGACAGAGUAAGGGUGCGCAAUGCAGAUUUACGCCAAGAGGCAAUUGGAGAAGUCGAGAGGGAACCCACAUUACCCAUCAGAAGGGUCUACAAUGCCCGGCGAGUAGCUCUGCAGCGGCAACGUACACUCCAGGGUGGAGGAGACAGAGCACCACCACAAGACUUCCCGUCAGUGAGGUCAGUUAUGGCCAGAGCACGUAAACAUGUGAUGCCUCCCAUCCCACCUACCAUUGGGGACGUAAGAAUAGAAGGUCCAUGGGCAGAGACAUGGGGCAGCGAUAAAUUCCUGUUGCACCAAGAUGAGGAUUGGGGUGUCGCAGUCUUUGCCACUAAGGACAACUUGCGGAAGCUGCGACACUGUGGGACCGUUUACAUGGAUGGACUUUGAACAGGCACUGAUGACUGCGCUUGAAACAGAGCUUCCAAGGGCACGAAUGUGUGGAUGCUACUUCCACUUCAACCACUGCUGGGCACGAACACCAGGCGCGCCCAGCAGGACCACCCAGAGUAGCAGGACUUUCUUCAGUAUGUUGGCAACACGUACGUCCACAAUGGUGCAGCAUUCCCACCGGCAAUGUGGAAUGUAUACGGGCGCAACAUGGAACAAAGGACCAACAACCAUGUUGAAUCUUACCAUCGCCCCCUGAACGAUGCUGUUCAAGUGCGCCGACCAUCGCUGUGGAUGUUUCUUCGCCACCUGAAAGACCAGCAGCAGCUUGCUGGGGAGAAGCUGGAGAGGGCAGACCGGGAUGAUCCUCCCCCAACAAGGAGACGCAAGUGGAGGGAGUUGGAGGCCCGUCUCCAGAGGCUAAGGGAGCAUUACAUUGCAGGUCGCAGAGAUCUGGCAUCUUACUGGAAGGCUGUCAGCCGCAAUGUUUUCCUGUAGGCUAAGGGAAAGGGCUAAGCCCCUCUUUUUUUAGAGAAAAAAGAUUUCAGGUUUGGCCGGCCAGUAUGAAUACUUUGAAGGCAUUUUUCUCAGUUUCAAUGUUGGCGUAGUUACUGCACUUUGCCUUUGUAGGGCAGUGUAGGCCUAUUAUUAUUUUUGUUGUUUAUGUUAUUAUUUUAAUUCAUAUUAUUAGCAUUUUAUUUAUUUUAUUUUUGUUAUCUUGCAAGGUGUAGUAAAUGUUCAGACCUUUCUCUGGCUGCAUGGGUUGCUUGGCAUUUUUUUAAUUUUAUUUUUUGUUAUCUUGCAAGGUGUAGUAAAUGUUCAGACCUUUUUCUGGAUGGGUUGCUUGCCUAUUGCCUAUCUGCCUUCUUGAGAUACAUAUGUUGCGUUGUUCCUGUGUUCUCCUCCUGAAGUCCAAUGCAAGUCUAAGCUGAAAAUUAAAUAUAUGUUUUGUAAAUAAAGUUUGCCAGUG
ensembl:lncRNA